GAACGCUGGCGGCAUGCUUACACAUGCAGUCGCACGGCCCGCAAGGGCAGUGGCGGACGGGUGAGUAACGCGUAGGUAUCUGUCUCCGGGUGGGGGAUAACUGUGGGAAACUACAGCUAAUACCGCAUGAAACCUGAGGGUCAAAGGCGCAAGUCGCCUGGAGAGGAGCCUGCGUACGAUUAGCUUGUUGGCGGGGUAAAGGCCCACCAAGGCGACGAUCGUUAGCUGGUCUGAGAGGAUGAUCAGCCACACUGGGACUGAGACACGGCCCAGACUCCUACGGGAGGCAGCAGUGGGGAAUAUUGGACAAUGGGCGCAAGCCUGAUCCAGCAAUGCCGCGUGAGUGAAGAAGGUCUUCGGAUUGUAAAGCUCUUUCGACGGGGACGAUGAUGACGGUACCCGUAGAAGAAGCCCCGGCUAACUUCGUGCCAGCAGCCGCGGUAAUACGAAGGGGGCUAGCGUUGCUCGGAAUGACUGGGCGUAAAGGGCGCGUAGGCGGUUCGUACAGUCAGACGUGAAAUUCCCGGGCCCAACCUGGGGGCUGCGUUUGAUACGUGCGGGCUUGAGUUCGGAAGAGGGUCGUGGAAUUCCCAGUGUAGAGGUGAAAUUCGUAGAUAUUGGGAAGAACACCGGUGGCGAAGGCGGCGACCUGGUCCGAUACUGACGCUGAGGCGCGAAAGCGUGGGGAGCAAACCAGGAUUAGAUACCCUGGUAGUCCACGCCCGUAACGAUGUGUGCUGGAUGUUGGGCAGU
rnacentral:rRNA from 1 species